rnacentral:rRNA from 1 species
UACGAAAGGUGCAAGCGUUACUCGGAAUUACUGGGCGUAAAGCGUGCGUAGGUGGUUUGUUAAGUCUGUUGUGAAAGCCCCGGGCUCAACCUGGGAAUGGCAAUGGAUACUGGCAAGCUAGAGUGCGGUAGAGGGUAGUGGAAUUCCCGGUGUAGCGGUGAAAUGCGUAGAGAUCGGGAGGAACACCAGUGGCGAAGGCGGCUACCUGGACCAGCACUGACACUGAGGCACGAAAGCGUGGGGAGCAAACAGG